rnacentral:pre_miRNA from 1 species
CUUUUUUUAGUUACUUGACGAGUGAACACUACUUUUUAGUUACUUGAUGAGUGAGCAGCAAGUAACUAAAAAAGUAGUGCACACUCGUCAAGUAACUAAAAAG